rnacentral:rRNA from 1 species
UGGAUCCAGACUUUGAUUAUGGCUCAGGAUGAACGCUAGCUACAGGCUUAACACAUGCAAGUCGAGGGGCAGCGGGAUUGAAGCUUGCUUCAAUUGCCGGCGACCGGCGCACGGGUGAGUAACGCGUAUCCAACCUUCCGUACACUCAGGGAUAGCCUUUCGAAAGAAAGAUUAAUACCUGAUAGUAUCUUAAGCACACAUGUAAUUAAGAUUAAAGAUUUAUCGGUGUACGAUGGGGAUGCGUUCCAUUAGGUAGUAGGCGGGGUAACGGCCCACCUAGCCAACGAUGGAUAGGGGUUCUGAGAGGAAGGUCCCCCACAUUGGAACUGAGACACGGUCCAAACUCCUACGGGAGGCAGCAGUGAGGAAUAUUGGUCAAUGGACGAGAGUCUGAACCAGCCAAGUAGCGUGAAGGAUGAAGGUCCUACGGAUUGUAAACUUCUUUUAUAAGGGAAUAAACCCUCCCACGUGUGGGAGCUUGUAUGUACCUUAUGAAUAAGCAUCGGCUAACUCCGUGCCAGCAGCCGCGGUAAUACGGAGGAUGCGAGCGUUAUCCGGAUUUAUUGGGUUUAAAGGGAGCGCAGACGGGUCGUUAAGUCAGCUGUGAAAGUUUGGGGCUCAACCUUAAAAUUGCAGUUGAUACUGGCGUCCUUGAGUGCGGUUGAGGUGUGCGGAAUUCGUGGUGUAGCGGUGAAAUGCUUAGAUAUCACGAAGAACUCCGAUUGCGAAGGCAGCACACUAAUCCGUAACUGACGUUCAUGCUCGAAAGUGUGGGUAUCAAACAGGAUUAGAUACCCUGGUAGUCCACACGGUAAACGAUGGAUACUCGCUGUUGGCGAUAUACUGUCAGCGGCUUAGCGAAAGCGUUAAGUAUCCCACCUGGGGAGUACGCCGGCAACGGUGCAACUCAAAGGAAUUGACGGA